ACGAACGCUGGCGGCAUGCCUAACACAUGCAAGUCGAACGAAGCCUUCGGGCUUAGUGGCGCACGGGUGCGUAACGCGUGGGAAUCUGCCCUUCGGUUGGGAAUAACACAGAGAAAUUUGUGCUAAUACCUUAUAAUGUCUACGGACCAAAGAUUUAUCGCCGAGGGAUGAGCCCGCGUAGGAUUAGCUAGUUGGUGGGGUAAUGGCCUACCAAGGCGACGAUCCUUAGCUGGUCUGAGAGGAUGAUCAGCCACACUGGGACUGAGACACGGCCCAGACUCCUACGGGGGGCAGCAGUGGGGAAUAUUGGACAAUGGGGGCAACCCUGAUCCAGCAAUGCCGCGUGAGUGAAGAAGGCCUUAGGGUUGUAAAGCUCUUUCGGCGGGGACGAUGAUGACGGUACCCGCAGAAGAAGCCCCGGCUAACUCCGU
rnacentral:rRNA from 1 species